GGAGGAAUACUCAAGUGGCUGAAGAGGCGGGCUUGGAAAGCUCGUAGGCUGUCAAAGGCGCAGGGGUUCAAAUCCCCUUUCCUCCGCCA
rnacentral:tRNA from 3 species